GCGUCGUCUUCAGAGUUUGAUCCUGGCUCAGGAUGAACGCUAGCUACAGGCUUAACACAUGCAAGUCGAGGGGCAGCAUUAUCUUAGCUUGCUAAGAUAGAUGGCGACCGGCGCACGGGUGAGUAACACGUAUCCAACCUUCCGGUUACUCGGGGAUAGGCUUUCGAAAGAAAGAUUAAUACCCGAUGUUGCGUAUCUUUCUCCUGAAAGAUACGCCAAAGGAUUCCGGUAACCGAUGGGGAUGCGUUCCAUUAGGCAGUUGGCGGGGUAACGGCCCACCAAACCUUCGAUGGAUAGGGGUUCUGAGAGGAAGGUCCCCCACAUUGGAACUGAGACACGGUCCAA
rnacentral:rRNA from 1 species